UAAUAGAUUUGUUAGGCGAGGCUUCUACACAAACACAGGGUACUGCCCAGAAACGUCGAGAGACGCCAAUGGGUAGAACAUGAAUAGUCGACAUAAGGCUUUUCUGAAUGUACCUAAAAAUUAUUACGAUAAUUUUUUACGUUGUAUAGUGCUAAAACUCAACGAUUAAUCAUGAUU
rnacentral:sRNA from 2 species